rnacentral:rRNA from 1 species
AUUAGAUUAAAAACCAAUGCCCUUCGGGCUCUCUGGUGAUUCAUAAUAACUUCUCGAAUCGCACAGCCUUGCGCUGGCGAUGGUUCAUUCAAAUUUCUGCCCUAUCAACUUUCGACGGCUGGAUCUUGGCCAGCCAUGGUGACAACGGUAACGGAGGGUUAGGGCUCGACCCCGGAGAAGGAGCCUGAGAAACGGCUACUACAUCCAAGGAAGGCAGCAGGCGCGCAAAUUACCCAAUCCCGACACGGGGAGGUAGUGACAAUAAAUACUGAUACAGGGCUCUUUUGGGUCUUGUAAUUGGAAUGAGUACAAUUUAAAUCCCUUAACGAGGAACAAUUGGAGGGCAAGUCUGGUGCCAGCAGCCGCGGUAAUUCCAGCUCCAAUAGCGUAUAUUAAAGUUGUUGAGGUUAAAAAGCUCGUAGUUGAACCUUGGGCCUAGCCGGCCGGUCCGCCUCACCGCGUGCACUGGCUCGGCUGGGCCUUUCCUUCUGGAGAACCUCAUGCCCUUUACUGGG